AUAUAUAUAUAUAUAUAUAUAUAUAUAUAUAUAUAUAUAUAUAUACAGGGCCCUUCCAAUAAGGGAUCCCUAUUUUUUGUCACUUUUAGGGAUAAACCUACACCAUUAGAUCUGUUUUUUAAUGGGCUUUGAUGAAUGAGAUUAAAACAAAAAACUUAACACUUAUGUCAAACCUACACCGUUCAAGAUCAUUAAAAAUAAAUCAAACAUUUGGAUGACUUAAUGAUCACCAAAUUUUCUGAAAAUUAGCAGAAGUGAUCUACUCAUAUACACCUACAAAUUGAACAGUGGAGAUGUGAUUUUGUGAUUGGGAAGUUUGUCAAAUACCUUAUCCCUAGAAAUAAACAAAAAAAGGAUCCCUCAUUGGAUGAGCCCUAUAUAUAUAUAUAUAUAUAUAUAUAUAUAUAUAUAAGGAUCUGUUGAAGGAAUUUACAUUCCUAUCCUUGAUAAUGUGUCCUGACCGAAUCUUCUCCUUAUUAGACUAGAAUAUCUCUUAGAUAUCUAUCUCUGAUUUACAGGGAUUCUGUAUGUAAUGCCUAUAUAAAGACCAAUCUAUCAAUGAAUGAGUAGACCAUUAAUUAUUCUCGUAUUCACAUACUCUUUAUCACGUUAUCAUGCACUUUGUUCUAACCCUAUAGCCAAUAACCCACCAUUUGUUUUUCGAAACCCUAAAAGCCAAAAGAGUCUCUUGCAUCCUCUAUCCAACCGCCGCCGCUGUCCGCUCGCUUCCCCGGCCACUGUUGUCCGACAACCUCCAGCAGCAAAUCUUCCAGCUGCCGUCUGCCAUUGAUUCUUGGCUUCCUUCAGCUUAAUUUUUCAGCUUUUUCUUUCAAAUUUUGAAAGUUUUUAUAGCUUAUAUUUAUAUGGUGAAUAUGGCUAACCAUAUAUUUUGUUUUCCAUGACAUAAUCACGCGACGAAUCACAAGGAAUUACGCGAGCAACUUCGCUGCAAGCACGUGGAAUUAAGCUUGAAAAAUUGCAAAGCAGCUCCUAUAAAUGCAGUUUAUUUAGCAAACUACCAAGUAAGCUUUAAUAUUACAGUUAUUUACUUUUGAAUAACUCGGGGGGAUAAAAUCCUUUCUCCUUUCUCCAUCUCCAUUCUAUGUUUGGGAUUUUGUGAGUGCAGGUAAAAAUCCCAGAAUUUUAUUCGCGGGCCAAGAAGUGUGUUUUGAUCACUCUUGUUUCUUUGUCCAGGUUAUGUGUGAUCAUCCCUGACCUUUCUCCGAAUUGUGUUUGAUCAAUCCGAGGCUUUUUUUUAGAAUUGUGUUUGAUCAAUUUACGGCUUUUCUGGAUUGUGUAUGAUCAAUCUGAAGGACAAACCAUUAAAAACAUUGUUUGUGACCUCUAUGGAGUCUCAUAACAGUUUGGUUUUGUAUGCAAGAGUAAUGUAACAUUCUGCUCCUUUGAGUUUUGACGUACUCGAUGCCUAAGGCGAAUCUUCGCUUGGUAUCUGUGGAACCUUUCAUUGGAAAGGAUUAAACCACAUGUUUUGACCCCUAGGCUAACAAGCCUAGAUGCCGAGAUUUCACAUCUCAUGUGUUCAAAGUUUUUGACGUGCACAUCGACAAAAGCCUUCAAUAACAAUCUGUGCAAAAAGUAAUGACCACAAAGUACUGUGGAAUGCACUUAUGGAGCGUUUCUUGAAACGUUCAUCUAACUUGUUGAGUUAUUAAGUCAAGUGGAUUGCUUACCACUUUAAUUUACUACAUAUGGUCGAUGAUAUUUUGUGGCAUCAUGUUCCAUAAUCUUUAGCGGAUUCGAUCAUCAUCAAGUUCUCUACGCCCUCCAAGUUGGUUUGGAAUUACCAACGAGACUUGAUUUUGAUCAUACAAUUGCAAACGAGAAUUGUAUAUACGCUAAUGUGAUAAACGUAUUUGGGAUUGUCCCCUAAUAUGGGGACAACAAUAUGGGUCACGGCAACGGCAUUUCACGGCAACGGUAUAAAAUGCUAUGCCGAUGUCUAGAAAAGAGGGGGAGGUGUCGCCGGCCCUAAUGGACCGGCGACACUCCCGAUCUAGACAUCAAUCUGUCAAAACUACUCGUGCCAGCUCCGAACAAUAACAAUGCAACCGUAUGGAUCUCCAGAUCACUGGUUGAGGAGUUGUCGAGCUCAUUCUCAAAUUAUGAAUGCAUACAAAAAGGUACGGAAAAUCAAUAUGAGGACAAGAACGUUAUCCUCAUGAUCGCGGAUUUCAAAGAUUCGGAUCCAGCUCUAGCUACCUCUGACUUUAACGUCAUCGGCUAAAUCGACUUUGAUUUUCUUUCCAAGCUAUAUAUAAUAAGAUGUCGUAUUUAUGUCUUUAUAUUACUCGAGACCUCGAUGUACUCACCUUAGCAAUAAUGAAUGCUUUGAGAAUUUUUUCGAAGUUAUGAAACUAUUUUCCUCUUAUGGUUCGUAUUGAUUUACAAACAAGAUGUACAGUUUUACAUCGUCCUUAGAAGCAUGGCAUAUUUACAAUCUACAUGGUUAGAUUGUGCCGUUUUGGUCUCUUCCAAGUGAAGAUGACGCACGGCCUUGCAUCCUCAAGGAGGAUCGCCCAUGUGUUUUCCGGUUAAGUCUUCUACCCUAUAGCGGAUUUUCCAUAAUCAACUGUUCAACUAGGCUCAUCCAAGCUCAGUGUGAUGUCUUAGAAUUGUCCGAAAUUAAGGAGAUAGUGGUUUCAAGUGUGCCUCGCACUACCGACCAUUCACUGACAUGCCUGGUCAUACUGACUUGGAGUUACCGAAAGCUUUUGAUUUUGGAUCCUCCUAUGCUAUUAAACCAAUUUCCGUCUUGCAAAAAGACGUUGAAGACUUAUCAAAACCAGACAACAAUCAUCAUAAUCGAAUCCUCUAGGUCCUCUGAAUUAGUUUAUGUUCAUGUCUGGAAGCUUUCGCUAACUAGUCAUGGAGUUUACGACCUUAGAAAGACUAAAAGGACUUGAUUUUGAUCAUAUACACAUCAUUUUGGCUUCGGCUUAUGCCCACAUGCCAUCCGCAAGCUUCAAAGCUUUGCCAAUGCCAAAUCUGCGAAAAACAGCAUUCUUUCCCUUCUAAACUGUCAACUUCGUUUGAGCUUUGUGAGCAGCUCCGAACGAACUAGAUAGUGAGUUUUAUAUCGUUGGAAAGCUCUACGAGUCUAGUUUUCAGAAUCUUUUGUGGUUUGUCCAUAUCUAUUUUAACGAAGACGUUAUGGCUGUUUUAGUGUGCAAAAGUCAUUCUGCGCGGAAAAUUUUAAGCACUCUCGGGAUUGCAGUUUUUUGUAGAUUCUUUCAAUCCUUCUAAAUGGUUCAAGUGAAGCUAUUUACUCUCCUAUCUACUUCAUUUUGUAGAUCUAUCUCAUAGAGACAUCGAGUGUUUCGCAGAUAGUGGAACAAUCCACAACAUUCUAAAGAACCGGCAACUAUCUCUGAAUUUUGUGCCUUGUAAAUCUUCUGUGACUACAAUGAUUGAAUCAUACCGGUCAUUUAGGGACGCGGUUUAGCUUGAAUCUUGAUGCCUCAUGGCACCAUGAUCAAUGUCACAGAUGCCCUCUAUGCAUUGAGAGGCAACCGAACCAUAUUGAGCUUUAAAGACAUUAUUGCUAAUAGUUUUCAUUUGAAAACACAUUGUGAGAAUGAAUAAGAGUUCUUUUGUGUAUACCUUCUCAUAAAUUCGGACUGAAAUGCAUAUGAGAGAAGUUUAUGAGUCAAUCUAGUGGACUGUAUGUCACUAUGAUUCGAAUAUCGAAUCACAUGUUGUCGCCAAACAUGAUAUUUGGGACACCGACUCAUAUAGACUUUUGUUUGACCAAAUCGGUCAUCCUGAAAGAGAUAUAAUGGUCCAAAUUUUGAGAAAUUCUCAUGGACAUCCAUCCUUCCACUCAAAACAAAGACAUUUGAGAUCUAGCUUCAUCAUGAAGCAUGAUGGUGACGCCAUAGUUAUAAAUGGCGGCACCCGGGGGACAUUGACUUCACUCGAACUUCACCCGAACACGACUCCAACUUCCUAGAAGCCGCCCGGUCAAUUUCUCAAACAAUUGAGGUGCACAGGCCUUCCCUUGAUGUCUCAUUGGCCCCUUACAAUGCUCAUUGCUCGUUUCGAAAGCCUAUUCUUUAGCUAAAUUAGGAGUGAGACCCUCCUACGUUAAAUGACACAAAAAUGAACAUUCUAUUCUUACAUCAAACUAUGUAGAUAGAUACAACCAACUUGCGGACACAUUUUUAUGUUUUAUGGUGUUGGUUGAAGUGUUAACACACUGGUCACGUGUUACACUAUUAUCUACUCUUUAUGCUGCUUAUGCUUUUACGGGCUCACUACCCAUUCUUUAAAGAAGUUUAUCGGGAUAUAAGUUGAAGUGUCAUGUACCCCAUGUUCACACGUAAUAUGGUCUCACCGAGGCUACGACCAAGCAACUUUAGCUUGUCGCUCGAACAUUAUUGAUGCACACCAAUCUUUCUAUUACGACUUAGGGCUAUGCAAUAUUUGCAUGCAACUUUACUAUUCAUCUAUGACCCACCAUCAUUGAAUAUUUUUGUACUACAGCUCGUGACUGUAUACAAGGAUUGACACGAAAUUGCAAUCCUUGAGCUCAAACAUGAUUGAAACGGAUCUCCAAUCUUUGAGCUCGGCUAGAUAUUAUUUCUAGGUGCCAAAUCGCAUUGCUACUGCGUAUAAUGAUGGGUCAUUUGAGAUGAAUAAGUAUUUAAGUUUAGGUUGGAUAUGAACCUCCACCUAUAAUCCGCCUAUGUAGAAACCUUGUCAGGCGAACUCUUUAACCGCUAUAUUGCGGAUUGUCACUUUGAUGAGACAAUAUUCCCGCCGUUAGGGAGAGAUAAGUGGAAUGACGUGAAUUGUCGUGGUUUGUCCCCACUAAGUCUCAUCUUGAUCUCAAAUGCUUAAAGUGUUAAAUUGACGAGAUCACAUGCUGCAAAUAUGUCUGCAAGGAUCGAUGUCUUACAAAAGGACAUGGCGAGACCAAAAAGAGUUGGUCUUGACGCCAUCACCAUGGAUGGUGAUAUGGUGACGCCAUAUAGUGGCAAAAUUGGUGUCACAAGGCCGUGUGGCUCCCCAAAAAAAGGGAGGCUCUUAGGUUUGAUACUUUCUCUCAUUAGGCAGAAAGUGAGCUUGGCAAAACCUGAUCCAUUGAUCAGUGAUACUCAAAUCCGUCUCAUGAAGUUUGGAUUGUGAUUAUCGUUAGGGGAUGCCUCAAUGUCAAAUCCAAUCCAUAUAGAGAUCUCUACGAGUAUUACACUAGUGUACAUGAGGAUGUAAGAUAAUGAGUCUACUAUCGAACCACCCUUUGUUGAUGAAUAUCCACUUAGUUGAUUGGCCUAAUGGAAAGAUGCGAUCUAGCAUAACAAAGAGAUAGGUCCUUGAGCAGGUGAUGUCGACACCGCAAGGUAAACCCUAUCAACUGUGUCUUUGUUAGAUUGCUUAGUGAGAACAAGAGUUUAGACUCACCUUAUGACGCAAGGUCUCUCACUAACAUGCACUGGGAUCGACUACAAUGAGAUAUGCUCUUGUAAUGGAUGUCAUUGCACUCCACUACUUUGUCAGUUUGGUAGUUUCCAAAUAACUGAACAUGCAGCCUAUGAAUGUGGUCAUAAUAACAUCUCUAUUGGAUCAGAGAUAUACAUGAAGGUUUUAAAUGGACUUCAUUCAUCCGAAUCAAGUUGCUCCAGACCAUAGGAGCACGCGUUUGCUAAAGGUAUUUAAAUGCACAUGGACUCUACUUGAUUUGGAAGGGAUAUGGUGAAAUUAUGCCUUUGUGUGUUCAUUCCAGAUUUACAUGGACUCUUGAUGGAUCAAGAGAUGCCAAUAUGUAUCAACAUCCGAGGAAAAAGAUCUUAGGAAGACACGGUCUCGAUAAGGCACUCGAUGACUGUAUUGAUGACGAUUUUUCAUCAAUUGGCUUAGGCGCUCUAUAACUAGUGAGGCCUACAUAUACUCCCACGAUUAGUCAAAGUCUUUGCUCUAAAGAGAGAUCCGUUGUUAUUUUGUCUAAGAAAGAUGACAAAUAUGUGUUAAGAGAUGGAGUUCCCAUCUAAGUAUAAUAAGACACAUCAAUGUACUCAACACAAUACGAAGGACUUGACAUCUCAUUCGUUAUGAAAAGUUGUAAAGCUAAGUGUAGCUAUGCGCCCAUGUAACGCUAAUGUGAUGGCAGGUACUCCUUUUUUAAUACUUAAUGGUAUGAAAGGUUGAGGCUUAUUCUAUCCCUACAUAAGAAAGACACAUCAAAAGCGAAAUCAAAAUUUGCUAAGUUUAGUAGGUCACAUUCCACGGGACCUAUAAUCUCACUCACUAGAAAAUGGUGAAAUUGGUACCAUUGGAAAGGUCUAUGUGUCUACUUUCCAGGGACACCAACCAUUUGAUCAUACCUAUCAUAUUGAGUGAGUUAUGUCUGUUUUCGUAAAGUAGGACGAAUCUGUCCGAGAAUCUGAUUUUGGCAAAACAGUCAACUUCGACGGGACUUUGUGAAUAGCUGCUGACGAACCAGAAUGUGUGUAAUAUACGGUUGGAAAGCUAAAUGAGUCUAGUUUGCAAAACCGUUUAUGGUUCAUUCAUAUGUAUUUCCUAGAGGAAGUUAAGGCUGUUCUAGUAACUGAAGGUCAUGCUGUGCGGAAAUCUGAUUUCAUGCACGAACUUAUGUUUUGAGUUCACAAGCGGCCUUCUCCUCAAGAUCUAAGUGUAAAAGAUCAUGUUUGAGGACAAUUCAGCAUGAUCAAGAUAAUCAUUGUCUAAUGCCACAUUUGAAGACAUGUUAAAGAGCAUUGACAUGCUAAGUUGUUGAAAUUUCCGUGAUUAGUAAAAAUCAGGAAGAGCCCUAUGAUUGAUGUAAAGAUCAGGAGGAGGUGCGAACUUUAAGGGGAGUCUAGCAUAUACAUGUCACUAUCAAAUGUGAAGGGUGCAUUGUACUUUUUUUCUCCUACGAUCAAGGUUUAGUUUUUCUCCCACAUGGUUUUUGUUCUUUGAGGAGGUUUUUAACGAGACGACAUAUUAGCACCACCGGCAUACCGGCGCGCGGCACAAAGGGGAGUGUUCUAGGAUAUUCCAUAUGUGUGUCUUGGCCUUAUGCCAUCAGGAUAUGUAGUUGGAAUAUGACUAUGUGUUCCUUAUCAUUACCAUAUUGGUAUUUUGUAAUUCCCUAUAUAUGAGGUAUUGUCCCAUAUUCUGAAACACCUAAUAAUAUGUUAGUCAGAUUUGCUGAUGCUGGGUAUCUCUUUGACCACACAAAGGACGUUCUCAAACUGGUUAUGUGUUCACCAUUAGGACUACGACGAUUUCUUGAAGAUCUACCAAGCAAACCCUUGUUGCUACUUCCUCGAAUCAUUCAGAGAUUAUUGCACUACAUGAAGCAGUCAAAGAAUGUGUUUGGCUUUGCUCUGUGGUAGCUCAUAUUUGAGAAAUCUAGUGGGUUGACAUCUACCACUAAAGCACCAACUUGCAUCUAUGAAGACAAUGCGGCAUGCAUUGAACAAAUGAAGUUGGGAUUCAUCAAGGGUGAUAAUAUUAAACAUAUCUCGCCUAAGUUCUUCUACAAUCAGCAACAGCAACAACAACAGCUUUUGAAUAUCCAGGUGAACCAAGUCAGUUCCGAGGAUAAUGUAGCAGAAUUUGUUCACCAAGUAUCUACUCAAAUCUACUCUUGAGAAGCAUGUGCGAAGUAUUGGUAUGCGUCGCUUAUUUGAAUUCCAUGAUUUAUUGAUUAUCAGGGGGAGUUGAUUAUGUAGACAUCAAGGGGAGUCUACGACACAUGUUUUACAUUUCAAGUUGUAGUUGGCGCGUUAUUCUCUUUUUCCCUUCGACCAAGUCUUUUGUUUUUACCUAAGAGGUUUUUUGUUUUAUUUGGCAAGGUUUUUACCGAGGCAACGUUCAUACGUCAUGUGAUUCUGGUACGCAACAUAAGGAAGAGUGUUAAAGGAAUUUACAUUCCUAUCCUUGAUGAUGUGUCUUGACCGAAUCUUCUCCUUAUUAGACUAGAAUAUCUCUUAGAUAUCUAUCCCUGAUUUACAGGGAUUCUCUAUGUAAUGCCUAUAUAAAGGCCAAUCUAUCAAUGAAUGAGUAGACCAUUAUUCUCGUAUUCUCGUAUUCUUUAUCAGGAUCCCUAUUUUUUGUCACUUUUAGGGAUAUGCCAACACCAUUAGAUCUGUUUUUUAAUGGGCUUGGAUAACUGAGAUUAAAACAAAAAACUUAACACUUAUGUCAAACCUACACCGUUCAAGAUCAUUAAAAAUAAAUCAAACAUUUGGUUGAUUUAAUGAUAAACAAAUUUUCUGAAAAUUUGCAUAAAUGAUCUACUCAUAUAGACCUACAAACUGAACGGUGGAGGUGUGAUUUAGUGAACGGAAAGUUUGUCAAAUACCCUAUC
rnacentral:lncRNA from 1 species